rnacentral:lncRNA from 1 species
UUCACAAUAUCUGAAUACAAGCAAAGUUUGUGAGAAAUGAGGUAUUGAUGUAUUUCGGGUUUCAAACCUCUUAGAAACAUUCGCGUCAUACGCUCCUUAUUAUCUACCAAAUGGGAUACAAACCGGGAUAACUCAACAAACUUAGCCUCGUACUGCGAUACGGUCAUAUUAAUUUUCUCCAACUUGAUGAAUUCUACAUCCUUCAUGUGACGAAUACUUUCAGAAAAGUACUUGUCGUUGAAAAAUUCUUAGAACUUUUCUCAAGACAUCUUUAGUGCGGAAGACUGAGUACGUUUUAC